AAACUGGAUGUUUGGAGGUGCUGCCACCUCAGCCUCAGGAGGGUUGCCAUCCAUGCUGAGGUGGUCCUCAAGCUGAUCAGCAUCCAGAAGAUUCAGCAGAGCUGGACUGUGGGAAAACUGUGGGAAGGCUUCUUGAGGAACAAGGUGAUAAUGCUGUUAUUUAGAAGCUUUGCAGCUGAACCUAAGAAAUAUAUUUAUGCUACAACAGUGAAUGGAGCAACAGCAAAUUGUCUAAGUAUCUAUACUUAUUUAUACUUCAAGUAUUCUUGAGCCACAGCCAAGGUAUUUGUAUGUUGUGGUCAGGCACUUACCUGUGCCUGCACUUAAUUAACUCACCAGUUAUCUAUUUAUAUUUAAGUUACAGUUAAAAGUUCUAAUCAUUGAACAGGGCUUCACUAGAUAUUAAUUUUCAAGUGGUGUAGACAAAUAGGAGUGGAUUUACAGAGUGAUCUCAGUGACUUUGCACAUAUUUUAGAAGGUAUUUGAUUCAGACUAAUUCUAGGCCAUUUCUGUGGGCCAAACACCCAGGGGUUCAGUUCCUUGUGAUUUCAUCCAGAUCAUGGUGCUCAAGACUCAUUGUGUGAUGUGAACCAAAGCAUAGGAGGUGACCAGUAGUGACCAUAUACACUUCAAAUAUAUUCUAAACUGAAAAAAAACCCCAGGAGAUUUCAUCACUGUGUACCAAAAAUACAAAACACAUUUACAUGAAUGUAAACAUGAAACAAAUUAUGUAAUAUACUCAUGUUUCUGCUCUACUACAUAUCUUUGUACUGAAACACCAAAUGUUGGCCAUAAAGGGAAAGGAAAAUGAAAGAAGUCAGAUCACUUUAAUUUUGAAAAAAGCCAAACUUGGAGAAUGUUGAAUACAAGGAGAAACGGACGUACAGCUAUAAAUAUGGAAUUGCAUUUUUUUCAAAGGAGGUACUUAAAGAAAAAAUUAUCAAACAAGUUAACUA
rnacentral:lncRNA from 1 species